rnacentral:lncRNA from 1 species
UGUAGAUCCACAGUUCAGCAGGACAUCAGCUUGUUUCAUUGGCGCUUCUUUUCUUGGUGUCUGCAAUCAGCGGCUCCGAAAGAUUGCUGUGGCAAUGUGAGUGCUCUUUUGUGACAUCCAGCAAGCUGCUGCUUCCAGCUCUGCCUUAAAUCACCGUUGAAAUAGCUGUCAAAAUAAGCUGCUAAAAUCUGCAAA